rnacentral:rRNA from 1 species
AGUGAACGCUGGCGGUAGGCCUAACACAUGCAAGUCGAACGGCAGCACAGUAAGAGCUUGCUCUUACGGGUGGCGAGUGGCGGACGGGUGAGGAAUACAUCGGAAUCUACUUUUUCGUGGGGGAUAACGUAGGGAAACUUACGCUAAUACCGCAUACGACCUACGGGUGAAAGCAGGGGAUCUUCGGACCUUGCGCGAUUGAAUGAGCCGAUGUCGGAUUAGCUAGUUGGCGGGGUAAAGGCCCACCAAGGCGACGAUCCGUAGCUGGUCUGAGAGGAUGAUCAGCCACACUGGAACUGAGACACGGUCCAGACUCCUACGGGAGGCAGCAGUGGGGAAUAUUGGACAAUGGGCGCAAGCCUGAUCCAGCCAUACCGCGUGGGUGAAGAAGGCCUUCGGGUUGUAAAGCCCUUUUGUUGGGAAAGAAAAGCAGCAGGUUAAUACCCCGCUGUUCUGACGGUACCCAAAGAAUAAGCGCCGGCUAACCUCGUG